rnacentral:tRNA from 11 species
UCCUUGGACGUUCCGAGAUUUGAACUCAGGACAUCUGACAUGCGAGGCGAGGGUGCUACCACCGCUCGACCAAGG